rnacentral:rRNA from 1 species
ACCCAGCAUGAGUUAUGUCAUGUUAUCGAUAUGUGAAUACAUAGCAUAUCAGAAGGCACACCCGGAGAACUGAAACAUCUUAGUACCCGGAGGAAGAGAAAGAAAAUUCGAUUCCCUUAGUAGCGGCGAGCGAAACGGGAAGAGCCCAAACCAACAAGCUUGCUUGUUGGGGUUGUAGGACACUCUAUACGGAGUUACAAAGGACGACAUUAGACGAAUCAUCUGGAAAGAUGAAUCAAAGAAGGUAAUAAUCCUGU